UACGGGGGGGGCAAGCGUUGUUCGGAAUUACUGGGCGUAAAGGGUUUGUAGGUGGCCUGCUAAGUCAGACGUGAAAUCCCUCAGCUUAACUGGGGAACUGCGUCUGAGACUGGCGGGCUUGAGGGCAGGAGAGGAACGCGGAAUUCCAGGUGUAGCGGUGAAAUGCGUAGAUAUCUGGAGGAACACCGGUGGCGAAGGCGGCGUUCUGGACUGUUUCUGACACUGAUAAACGAAAGCCAGGGGAGCAAACGGG
rnacentral:rRNA from 1 species